rnacentral:rRNA from 1 species
GACGAACGCUGGCGGCGUGCUUAACACAUGCAAGUCGAACGAAGUGGCGAACGGGUGAGUAACGCGUAAUCAACCUGCCCUUCAGAGGGGGACAACAGUUGGACACGACUGCUAAUACCGCAUACUGCAGGAGGGGCUUGCGUCUGAUUAUGUAGUUGGAGGGGUAACGGCCCACCAAGGCGAUGAUCAGUAGCCGGGCUGAGAGGAUGAACGGCCACAUUGGGACUGAGACACGGCCCAGACUCCUACGGGAGGCAGCAGUGGGGAAUCUUUCGCAAUGGACGAAAGUCUGACGGAGCAACGCCGCGUGAGGGAUGACGGCCUUCGGGUUGGAAAGCUCUGUUAAUCGGGACGCGGUACCGGAAUAGAAAGCCACGGCUAACUACGUGCCAGCCGCCGCGGUAAUAC